rnacentral:rRNA from 1 species
GUGGCCCCAAGUCAGGCAAGGCCCACCCCCCAAUUUUAA